AGACAUCACACUCAGGUCACCAUGUUUAUUGCACACUCAGUGCAAUUUCUCUGUUCUGAGUGAGAUACUAAAAUGUGUUCAGUGGAGAUUCAUUUCUCUAUAACCAGUGAAUGCCCACUUUCCAAAGCCAAAGAAGCUGCACGUCCUUAGGUAAUUUGCAAAUGAGUGUCAGCUGGGCAUGGCCCUGCUGCUGCAGGCUCAGUGCUAGGCAAGUUAGUUACACAAGUUGUAACUACAUCUGUUUAAAUGGAAGCCUCCUCUAUAGCAGCUCAGUAAUAAAUCCGUACUGCUUUCCUGCACAGAUGUAACUGCACCAAUGUGAUGUCUUCUCUCAUGGCUGUGUUACUGAAUAAUACGUACUUGUAGCAGAUAAUUAUGGCCAUUUGCAUAGGACUGUCUAUUGAUGGCAAUAGUCACGUGAAAUGAGGGGACUGCGAGGAUAAAUAACGCUUGUCUGCUUGGUGGCAGAGCUCCUUGCUUUCAGGCUGAGAGCUGCUGCCAGCACCACUGCCAAGGAAAACCACAUUUUGCUUAAGUGGAGACGGUGCCUUUUGAAACCAGCACGGAGGAAACAACAAAACCCUCAGAGAUGGAGCCCAGCACCGUAUGGCAGGCAUCUUUGCAAGCAAACCAUGCUUCCAGAGAGCACCAGCAGCAGAAGGUCAAAUACACAGAGAUUUGGACAGAAGAACCAAGCAGACUUGGCUGCAAGCUGUGGAAUAUACAAUCCCUGCCCAUGCAACUGCCUUUUGAUCACUUUGAGCUCCCUUGGCUCCUCCAGAACUCUGGAAUCCCACCACCUCCCAGCCCCACAGUGAGCAGAAGCAGAGCAGUGCUGUCUGCAUUCCUGCAAGCCCGGAGUUUGGAAGACAGUGUGAACACAUGCCAGUGUUAAUAAAUAGGGAAUUAUUAAUGACUGUGCAAAGCAGGAAAAUUGCAGACCGAGAUAAGACUCACAGAAUUCCCACUUGCUGAUCUUGGAUAAGGAUAUUUACCAAAGGGGAAAAAUAGCCUGUCCUUAAUUGGACAUCUCUCUGUUUGCGCAGGCGCUGCGCUGUGUAUAAAGGCAGCAGUGUGAGUGCUGAUGUCUGCCUUUGCACUGCCUGGUACAGCUCUGCAGCCCUCAGGCCACGUUGCAAGAGCUGCCUCCAGCACAGCCAGGGCUGCAGGAGGCAAUCUGCCCAGGCCAUGUGUGCCUUUUACCCAGGAGAGAACCGGGGACCUGCUGUCACUAUGUGCCAUGCUGGGGUUGGAGGUGGCUGCCCGCAG
rnacentral:lncRNA from 1 species